GCGCGGGAGAGGUGGGUCGCGGUCUCGGGCCCGCCCCGGCCCGGGGAGGAGCGGAGGCCACGCCGUCCCGCCCCUCCUCGCUCUCCGCCUUCAGUUCGGUGCUCCGGGGCCCUGGUACUCCCCUGGAGCCUGUUGCCGGCGGCGUCCGUGCUGCUCCCUUUUGACCCCAGCUGGCUGAAUCAGAGGGUUAAAUUCAUCUUGUUUCUGAUUGUUUGAUCCUGUGAGAAAUGACUACUGGCAGAAAAACGAAGGAUAAAAGUGGAAAUGAGCACACAACCACAAGGCACUGGGGAAACUCUUUUUCUCCGAACUCCUGGAGAUUCUGACUUCACUGAGCGACCUGAUGGGGAGCUGCCAGGAGAAGGACUGCGUCGGCCUUUGGGAACGGGUGACGCGGGGCUCACCUGGCCCUCUCCU